CACUUGUCAUUGUCUCGCUGCUCUCGCUCUCCAGGCUGUCUUGCUCUAUCCUCUCUUUCUCCUCCAGUGACCCGCAAAAACUCACGCUUUCUGCAUCUAUCUUGUUAGUCGUCAUGGGACAGUGGCUGGCCUCCGCCUUCAGCUCCCUUAUGGGCAAGAAGGAGGUGCGGAUUGUCAUGGUCGGUCUAGACGCAGCCGGCAAGACCACCAUCAUCUACAAGCUGAAGUUGGGCGAGGUUGUGACAACGACGCCGACCAUCGGCUUCAACGUUGAGACGGUGGAGUAUAAGAACUUGAAGUUCACCAUGUGGGAUGUAGGCGGUCAGCAGAAGCUGCGCUCGCUCUGGCAUUACUACUACCAGGGCUCCAACGGCGUCAUCUUCGUUGUGGACAGCAACGAUCCGGAGCGCAUGAUGCUGGCGAAGGAAGAGCUGGACAAGAUCUUGGCCGAGGAGGAGCUGCGUAAUGCAGUGCUGCUCGUGUUCGCCAACAAGCAAGAUCUGCCGAACGCGCUGACAACGACGCAGAUUACGGAGAAGCUUGGCCUGUACAACGUCCGCAAUCGCCGGUGGUACAUACAGGGGUGCUGCGCCACGACGGCGCAAGGCCUCUACGAAGGUCUCGACUGGCUGUCCAACAACAUCUCUGCGACCAUGCAAUAAUGUGAAUCAGCGAAACUCAGGCUAUCAUGGGCGGGGACUAUCGUCAGCCUCGCUGCGUGAUCGACAAGCACGGCAUGCGUACCCGAGCUGGCGAUGAUCUGUAGUGCCUCGCACGCAGCGGGCAGCCGCCGGACUCGUGGUCGCUGACGGGCCAAUGGGCCCAUUCGCUCUUCCCUUUUCUCUUGAUGUGUGUAUCGCUCCGGCUGCGACGACUGCCGCUCACGGCUUCAUCCGUGAACGCCGGUGACGUGUCUCUAUGUGUGCCCUGUGGUAGAAGGACGCGUACACGGCGCCACGUUUUUCCGCUCAGCCACUUCGGCUGGGCUGCGGGCGGACGGUGCGGGAGACGAAAAGAAAAACUAGCAGCAUGCACGCAGCGACUUCCCAUUCUUUGUGGAGUUCUGGUACCCGCUGUGGACAGACGGUGCAGGACCAACAGACAGCAAGUCAGGGGCGACCGAGACGCUGAAUAAUAAUCAUAUUCUCCUGGGUGCAACGACAAGAGCCUGUGGCGGCUUUGCUUGUGCACCUACGGCGCUGAGCGUGAAGCAGGGGAGCUGGAGCUGGAGCUGGACUGUCUGCGAGGGCAACUCGAUUGAUCAAGACAAAGAAGCAAGUGCGGCUGCUGCGGACUCGUUUUCCGCCAUGCUGGCGCUCAAAACGGAGCCUGCAGCGGUGGAAGAUGGCAUUUCCCGGCGUCUCUGGGCACGCGUGCUAGCGCUACCGGCCUGUUGAGUGUGCCUCUCAUUUCAGUGUGUGUGGGUGUGUGCGGUCAUUAUGACUUUAUCCACAAGGGCGAAGUGGUCAAAAUUUUGAGAUCGGCAAUGGCCAGAGGCGCCACCGCCAACUGCGCAAAUCACGAGUCUGGUCACUCUGGUCUCAGACGCCGGGCCAGCAUCCCCUGCAGCAGCGCUGCACAGCGCGAUAUGCUGAGACAAUGGUUCCAUGGCGGCAUCCGUCCCACACCAGAAGAGCGAUGUUGCUGAUACUGCGAGACGACAGAGGAGGCCAUGAUUGCCCACCUCUGCACGGGCUCCGGCCCAUACUUGGGAUUGUUGCAACAGCGGGUGACUGGCAAGUACACGAUGGAGUGCAGGCGGUGCUCUCUCCACUGCACCGCUAGCAUUGCCGCGCCUCCUCUCCACUAUCACUGCCGUCUGCGCAUCCUGCGAGCGCCUCCGACGCCGCGUUGUAUCCAG
rnacentral:misc_RNA from 1 species